GAUCCUACGGGAGGCAGCAGUGGGGAAUAUUGGACAAUGGGCGCAAGCCUGAUCCAGCCAUGCCGCGUGAGUGAUGAAGGCCUUAGGGUUGUAAAGCUCUUUCACCGGGGAAGAUAAUGACGGUACCCGGAGAAGAAGCCCCGGCUAACUUCGUGCCAGCAGCCGCGGUAAUAA
rnacentral:rRNA from 1 species